rnacentral:rRNA from 1 species
GACGAACGCUGGCGGCACGCUUAACACAUGCAAGUCGAACGGAGAUAUUUAGGUUUACUUAGAUAUCUUAGUGGCGGACGGGUGAGUAACACGUGAGCAACCUGCCUUUGAGAGAGGGAUAGCUUCGGGAAACUGAUGGUAAUACCUCAUAACGUACAUUUGCCGCAUGACAGAUGUACCAAAGAUUUAUCGGUAGAGGGUGGGCUCGCGUCUGAUUAGAUAGUUGGCGGGGUAACGGCCCACCAAGUCGACGAUGGGUAGCCGACCUGAGAGGGUGAUCGGCCACACUGGGACUGAGACACGGCCCAGACUCCUACGGGAGGCAGCAGUGGGGAAUAUUGGGCAAUGGGCGCAAGCCUUACCCAGCAACGCCGCGUGAGGGAAGAAGGUUUUCGGAUUGUAAACCUCUGUCCUGGGGGGCGAAGAAAGUGACGGUACCCCGGGAGGAAGCCCCGGCUAACUACGUG